GUGUUUUUGAUUUUUAUUUAAAGAUUAUUAAAGAUUAAUUUAGGUGUAGAAGUUUAAAUUUUUGGUCUGUUCGACCAUUAAAUCUUUACAUGAUCUGAGUUCAAACCGGUGUAAGCCAGGUUGGUUUCUAUCUUUAUAAAAAUUUUAUAUUUUAGUACGAAAGGACCAAAUAUUGAAUAUAUUAAAUAUUUAAUUAUUUUGAAUAUUAUUAAAUUAUUAUUUGGGCAGAUUAGUGUAAUGAAUUUAGAAUUCAUAAAAGUAAAGUUUUUACAAAUAAUACUUGUUUUUAAUAGAUAUUAUAAUUUCUUUAAUUUUAAUAGUUUUAUAAAUUAUUUGUGGCUUAGUAGGAGUAGC
rnacentral:rRNA from 1 species